CUAAAGUAGUCAAACAAUGGGAGUGCCAUUUUAUUGGGGGGGGGGGGAAGCUACUUGUAAAUGAAAUAGUUUAAGUAGAAGAGGGAUAUUUUUCAGGGAUAUUUUUAGACUGAGAGAAGAUUAUUUCAUGAUUUCCAAAGCUGGAGUAGAGAUCAUCCUAAAUCUCAUCUACGAUUUGUGAAUUCAUAAGAAGAAGAGAGAGGGCCAAGGAUAAGUCAAUUCAUAUCAAACAUUAAUUAAGUAACUCCAUUGUGCAUGCCAUUAUGUUUGGGGCUUUGGAUACAACAAUAAAUAUGGAAGUAUUUACCCUCUAGUAGUAGUAGUCUCUCGGUGAUUGAUAAUGACAAUUGUCUUUGUGCGUUUUCAUCUACAGUAUACCCUCAUAUGGCUUUGAAGUCCAAAGACUGAGGCGCAAAGUUUGUGAUACAUGGGACCCGGGAAGCCAGUUGUUACGGGAGGUUAUGGAAAAGAGAUCUAAUUCCUCUUGCCAGCAGUUCAAAUACUUUAAAGAGAGCUGCCAUGCAGAAGACACAUAAGGAGAGCAGAAAACUCAAGAAAUACACGGAUUUAAAGGAAUCUAUAAACACUGAAAACAUGAGAAGGCAAGGCCAAGAUGGU
rnacentral:lncRNA from 1 species